GCGCAUGGCCCAUAUGUACAGUUAUCCGAUGCUGGGCUACUGGAGCUGAUGUUGAGCCUCUUUCCUUCUGCAGUGCUUCUGGUAAGGCAGGAGGGCUCAGCACUGGCGACAGUCAGAGGCAAGCAAUACCCUCAGUGCUCCCAAAGCUGGAUUCCUCCACUGUGAUAUGAAAACCCACAGAAUAUAUCCAACACCUUCUUGGUUUGAACUGCCGGCUGAGGGCGUAAAAUUCGUCAAGGGACAGCAAUGGUGUCACACUCCCACUGAGAGCUGAAGUUCAUCCACUGCACUCGCUGAAUUAUCACUGUCGCUGAGAAAUUCCACAACCACUGGGUUCUUAAGAGAAAGGAUCUGACAAAUGAAAAUAUUUCAAACUUGAAGGAAGAGGAUGAGGCCUUCAAUGCACUGUGGGAUGGGUCAUGCCUUAAGAAACUCUUCAAAUCUCAAUGCUGAUGGAUAUCAAAGACAAGUGACUUGUGCAGUUAAGACUGGAUUCAUAGUUGUCACCUCAACUCAGA